AAAUGUUUUAUUAAAUGUUUAUAAGGUUUCAUACUGGGAAAUUUUUGUUUCUUAAAUUGGAUUAUCUUAAUUCUCCUUUUAAUUUUUUUUCUCACUAGUCAGAAGAAUAAUAGGAUUAACAUGUCACUGUUAAUUCAGCAUCAACCAGUUACUGACCUUAAUGUGACAGGAACAUUUACAGUUCAGAGUAGAGACACAUUUUCUUUAUUUAGAAAAUUAUUUGUUUUUCAGGUAGAGAUUGGUGUGGCUCUUAGGAAAAGGAACUCUGAUGGCUCAGAGGAACACAUUAAGAGAAUUUUCUGUAUUUUGAAAGGGAAAAACAUUUCCUUCUUAUGUACCUCUUUUAACAUAUUUAUCGUAACUUUCAGCAACUUAAUAAAAAUGAUAGAAAUGAUGAAAUUGAAACCAUAGCCAAGGUAUUUAAAAAAAUGAAUUCUGUUCCAAACUCUUCACCCCCUUGUAUUUCACAAAAAUAUAAAGGUCUUAGAAAUUCUGGAGUUUCUUGCUACAGAAACAAUUGCAUGAGAGAUGUGGCUAUAGUUGUAGGUUUACGUGAAAUGCUAACUGCUUAGCAGUGUAGAAAGGGCUUAUUAUAGCAUCGAGUAAAGGGGAAGCUGAAUGUUGCCUAGGAGUAUGUAGCUUUUUUCUUGUUCUGCAUUUUAACAUAUUCCAGCAAAAUUUCUCUUCCUGCCUUUUUAUAUGCAUAAUGUCAACAUACAGUGAAACAGGAAAUUACGGUUUAAGUUUUGUUUUAAUGAAUUGAUUUACAUAAUAAUGUGUUUUCAUAUUACUGAAACAAAAUAGAAGAUUAACUUUGCUUUACAAAAUGAAAUCGUUACUGGUACAGAACUUUAAUGAUUGCUCAUUAGAAUGAUAAUAGUGAAUGUUUUUCUUUAUAAUAGAUGUAUUUAAAUUUUAAGAUAUAACUUAAAAAUUAGCACUAUCCUUCUUUGGUAAUUUCUUCAUAUUUUAACCUACAUUUCUAAAGAGAAAUUACCAUGUAGCAUUUGUGUUAUUAUAAAGAGGCUAUUUACCUCUUCCAGUGGUAUGGAAUAAAAUGACAAAGGGAACCUCCACUCACAUUUUAAAGACUUAUUUGUAGGUAACUAUUAUACACAAAGAUCAGCUAGUUGAGUUGUAAUUUUUGUUCAGUUUUGCUAAGUUACAGAAAUGUUUUAUUUCAACUGUAUCUUAGGUGGUCAGAAGAAUUUGUGUUAAAAUUAUUCAUGAAGGAUUAUUUCAGUGUUAUGUUAAAGUGAAGUAACUGUGUAAAUACUUUAGGAUUGUGCCAUGAAGAUCUCUGUGAUUUCCCAAAAUAGUGGAUUUUUUUUUCCUGCUUUUCUCUGAGGUUGUAAAUUCUAAAUAGAAUUCUGGGUGAUGAUGAGAUCUUUUGUGCCACAUAUUAAUUACAUAAUGAGAUUGACAUUUCUCUGUAUAAGUAAGUUUUUAAUAGAAUUUGGCUUUAUAACAUCUAGUGUUACAUUUUUUAAGCACAAAAGCCACAUUAGUUAUUAAAAGGCUUAUUUUUUUUUCUCCUUCAGACUGACAGUUUUUACUUAGGGCACUGAUUUAUUAGAUAUACAUCAGUAUUAUCACGUGACAUUUUAAAUUUCAAGUUAUACUUUAGGAAAUCUACAGGAAAUUCAAAUGCAUAAGAACAGUAAGACAGUGUUGAAAGAGAAGUGCAAAGCUAACUCUAACUUUAGGUCACCAGAUUUCAAAACCUACUUUAAAGCCGCAUUAACUAAGAUGGCAUUUUAUUCAUUGAAGGAUAAACAAAUAGACCAAUUUAACAGAAUGAGUUUUCACAAACCUAUGAACACAUAUAUGGCUACAGUGACACCAUAAUACUGUGUGGAAGCAUAAACAUAUGAAAAAGAUUUCAACCUUAUUAUUACUUUAUUAAGUAUGUGAAAGUUAAAACACAAUAAGGUGCUGCACUACAUUUACCAUAAUGAUUAAAAUCAAUAGCACUGAUACCAAACAGAGUUUCAGUCACUAGAAUAGGAAGUGGUUCAAGCAAUUUAAACGCUGACAGCAUGUAGUAAAACUGAUCAGACUCCUACCCAUGAUCCUGAAAUUUCAUUUCAUAAAUGUAUAUUCAGGAGAAAUGCAUGGAAAUGAUUGCCAAAUGCAGUGUACAAAAUGUUAAUAGCAUUAUUCUUAAUAGUCACAGAGUGGCAACAACCCAAAUGUCUAUCAACAGAAUGAUUAAAUAAAUCAUAGUACAAACUGUGGAAUGUAUGUAACUACUUUUUACUUAGAACAAAAAGAACUGAUUUCAACAAUGAAAUGUUAAGUGAAAGAAGCCUGGCACAAAAAAAAUGUAUUUAACUUCACAACCAGGCAGAACUUAUCUGUGUGUUAAAUGUUAGAAAAGUAGUCGUAGUCCCUUUGAGCUGUGUGAGUUGUAGCUAGAAUGGGACAUGAGACAGCUUCUCGACAUCUGUCUCUUCAUUUAGGUGAUAUAUUCACAGGUGCUAUCAGUUUGUGAAAUUCAUCUAACUGUAAACUUGUGAAAUAGGAACUUUUCUGUGUGCAUGCUAUUAUACUUCUAUAAACAUUCUUCUGUGAAGUCGUUGACAGAAGAAAUUGAAGAUAAACACAAACAAAUGGAAAGAUACACCGUGAUCAUGAGUAGGAAGAAUUAACGCUAAGAGGUCUGUACUACCCAAAGCAAUCUGUAGCUUUAGUACAACCCCUAUCAAAAUACGAAGGGCCUAUUUCUCAGAAGUAGAACAAAGAAAUCUAAAAUUUGUAUGGAACCACAAAAGAAAGCAAUCUUUUUUUUUUUUAAUUUUUUUUUUUUUUAACGUUUAUUUAUUUUUGAGACAGAGAGAGACAGAGCAUGAACGGGGGAGGGUCAGAGAGAGGGAGACACAGAAUCUGAAACAGGCUCCAGACUCUGAGCUGUCAGCACAGAGCCCGACGCGGGGCUCGAACUCAUGGACCGCGAGAUCAUGACCUGAGCCGAAGUCAGACGCUUAACCAACCGAGCCACCCAGGCGCCCCAAGAAAGCAAUCUUAAGAAAGAAAAACAAAGCUGGAGGUAUCAGGCUCCCUGAUUUCAAACUGUACUACCGAGCUAUGUCAUCAAAAUACUGUAGUAUGAGCACAAAAACACACAAAUCAAUGGAGCUGAUUAGAAAAUCUGAAAAUAAGCCCAUGUGUAUAUGGUCAAUUCAUCUUUGACAAAGGAGGCAAGAACAUACAAUGGUGAAAAAGAUGGUCUCUUCAUGGUGUUGGGAAAACUGGACAGCUGCAAAAGGAUGAAAUGGGACCACUUUCUUAUACCAUACAAAAAAUAAACUCAAAAGGAAUUGAAGACUUCAAUAUAAGUCUGGAAAAUAAAAUUCUUAAAAGGUAACAUAGUAUUGGACAUUGGUCUGAGCAAUAUUUUUUUAGAUCUGUUUCUUUAGAGAAGAGCAAAAAAGACAAAAAUCAACAAACGGGACUAUAUCAAGCAAAAAAGCUUUUACACAGCAAAGGAAAUCAUCAACAAAUGAAAUUGCAACUACUGGAUGGGAGAAGAUACUUACAAAUGAUAUAUUUGAUAAGGGAUUAAUAUCCCAAAUACAUAGAAAACUCACACAGCUCAGUAUCAGAAAAAAUAUACCAUUUAAAAAAUGGGCCAUUUAAAAACUGAACAGACACAGUUCUCCAAAGAAGACAUACAGAUGACCAACAGGUACAUGAAAAGAUGCUCAGAGCCACUAAUCAUGAGGGAAAUGCACAGCAAAACCACAAAGAGAUAUCAUCCCAGACACGUGAGAAUGGAUGGUAUCACAAUGACAGAAAAUAACCAGUGUUAGCAGGAGGAAAGGGAACCCUGAUGCACAGUUGAUGGGAACACAAAAUGGUGACACCAGUGUGGAAAAUCGUAGGGAUGUUUCUCAACUACAAAAUAGAACUGUGUGAUCCAGCAGUUGCACUUCCGGGUAUUUACCCAAAGAAGAAGACACUAAUUUGAAAUGACAUAUGCACCCCUAUGUUUCUUGCAGGGUUAUUUACAACAGCCAAGAUAUAGACACAGUCUAAGUGUUCCCUGUUAGGUGAAUGGAUAAAGUUGUGGUAUGUACACACAUACACAGUGGAAUUUUAGCUAUAAAAAGAAUGAAUUCUUGUCGUUUGGCAACAUGGAGGAACCCUGAGGAUAUCAUGCUAAGUGAAGUAUGUCAGAGCAAGACAAAAGGCAAAUACCUAUGUGGAAUCUAAAAAACAAAUGAACAAACAAAGCGGAAACAGAGGGGAUGGUUGCCAGAGGGGAGAAGGGAGAGGUUGGGAGAUGCGUGGAAUAGGGGAAGAGCAUUAAAAGGUACCGACUUCUGAUUAUGAAAUUAGGGUAAUGCAAUGUAUCGCAUAGGAAAUACAGUUAACAAUAUUUUAACAAUUUUUUAUGUGACAGAUUGUAGCUAGUUGUUACUGUGUUCAUUUCAUCAUGUUAAUAAGUAGGGGAUCACUAUGUUACACACUGGAAGGUAAUAUAAUAAUAUUCAAUGGCGCUUAAAUAAUGAAAAAUGUUUUAAAUACAUGCUUCAAACAAUACAUGCUUUGAAUGCUAAUAAUUCUGAGUUCAACUCUACCACAUAUUUUUUUGCAGAUGAGUUUGUCUAAUAAUAAAACUUACCUAAUAGGCUGCUCUAGAAUCUUUUCCUCAUCACACGUUUGGUAAACACUGCGUCUGAUAUUAUUCAUGUAGAAGUGUAUGGUACAUAUUCAUUGAUUAAAAAAAACUUACUUAAUUUUGUUUAACCUGGUGCCUUUCAACUUAAUUUUGCCUCCAUCUUAACGUACCUACUAGACACACUCCAGGAAAUGCUAGGAUAUAACAUGUCAAGUGCUUUGGUGUGAGGUAGCUAAUAGAUGUUGAGUAACAAUACUAUGAGGUCAGAGAGAGCAGGUCUUUUACAAGUGAGGAAAAGUAACAUUUCAAGAGAGAGUAAUAUAGCCAGAAUUAGAAUGGUGGGUCUCGUAACAUGAUAAAGAGUCAUUCAUGGACUAAAUUGAUGAUAAUUAGACUCAGUUAUUUUUAAAUAUAUAUGUCUAAAUUGUUAGUAACAGUGGUUAAUGUUUGAAUCUUGCCGAUAAAAUCCAUGUUAAAAUUUUGCCUGAAAUGCUAAGAAAUCUGAGUCCCUGAACAAUCUGAAUCAGGGAUGAUGCCUCCUAUUUUCUGCGUAAAGAUUGCUUAAUUAAAUAUGGGGUGAACGUCAUGAGACCUCUGUAUUCUUGGCAAACAUGAUCCUUUUAAAUAUGACCAGGGCCUAAUAAGGCCCUAGAGACUUAAAGAUAUGUGAGGCUAGGUGUAGUCCAAAAAAGUUAUCAUUUACUUCCACGUUGUUUUUCUUUACUAUCUGAUUCUUCUAAUUAUUUUUUGAAAUAGGAUACUUUGCCUUCUUGUAUUUCAGCCUUUGCUUUUAAAAUUUACCCUUUGAUCAUAAAAUAAUAAGUGCUCGUUUUGGAGAUUUAGAAAAUUACAAAAUAUAUGUAUCAGAAAAUGGUACCACCUUAUAGUUUCUUAUCAAGGGGAAAGGAUAUAUUAUGUAGUUAAGCAAAGUGCUAUCUAUAGGUAGUAGAUUAAAGAGAAUGUUCUUGUGUUAAACUGUAAAGGCAUGACAAAUAUCAAAUGCAGAACAUUAAAAACCAGGCUAGCCAUUCAGAAUAUGAGCAGAGAGCUUAAAAAGCCACUGAGAAUUGAAUGGCUUUUUCUUGCAUCAAAUAAAUACCUCCUACAUACACACAGUUGAACAAAGGGAAUGAGUCUGUAUCUAUUCCCAAGAUGAGACUAUAAAAAGAUGAUAGUGAAACAGAAGAGAGAGAUUCAGGGUUAAGACGAUACACCUGAUGUAUCACCUUACAUGAUGAUGUAUCAUGUAUCAUGUAUCAUGAUCACCUGAUACACCUUAUCCUUCCUUCUGGUUAUGACACUGGUAGAGAUUCAGCAGAAUGCAAAACUUGAAACAGAAUUACAAAGCAAAGCAAAGGAUCCCUAAUGCCAAAGUUCUGGAGAACUUCCAUUAACAUCCAGGAUCGUUUGAAGUGGACAUUGGUGCACAGUUUCUUUGUGUUUAAGAACUUCAUCAAAGUUCACUGUAUGUUUUCAUUAAUAUGCUUUCAUGUAUUUUACUUAUCCCCCAGAAAUACUGUUUCACUUCACAUGCCAUAUCUCUUUUAUCUUGCCAGAGUGUUUUGUGUGUUAUUUCAUCCUAUUAUGGCUCUGUUGGGCUAUUCAUGGGGAAUACGAGUUGUCGACAGAUGCACAUGAAGAGCCAUGGUUCUUUAUGUAUAACACUAUUAAGUAAUGUUUCAGAAGCAUAAGCUUCACACCUAGUAUUAUUUCUCCCAUACUUGAUAUAUUUGGAACCAUGUAACACUAGAUGAGUGUUGACAGAACUUUUCCUGAUUUGUAAACUUUCAAGAUAGGUAUAAAUGAUUUUGGUUCCAAUGCUACAUUAAACUUGAGUGCCCUUAUAUAUUCAUUCAUUCGCUCCUUCCCUUCCUCUUUCUGUCUUUCUGUAUUUCAAGUUACUUAACAUACAGUGUAAUAUUGCUUUCGGGAGUAGAAUUCAUUGAUUCACCACUUACAUACAAAACCCAGGGCUCUUGACAACAAGUGCCCUCCUUAGUACCCAUCACCCAUCUCACCCAUCUUCCACCCACCUCCCUCCAUCAACCCUCAGUUUUUUCUCUACCAUUAAGGGCCUCUGGUGGUUUGUUUCCCUCUCUUCUCUUUCCCCCUACCCCUUCCUAUAUGUUUAUCUGCUGUUUCUUAAAUUUCACAUACGAGUGAAAUCAUAUGGUAUUUGUCUUUCACUGAUUGAUUUAUUUUGCUUAGCAUAAUGCAUUCUAGCUCCAUCCACGCCAUUGCAAAUGGCAAGAUUUCAAUCUUUCUGAUGGCUGAGCAAUAUUCCAUCACACACACACACACACACACACACACACACACACACCACCUCUCCUUUAUCCAUUCAUCAGUCGAUGGACAUUUGGACUGUCUCCGUAGUUUGGCUGUUGUUGGCUAUAUGCUGCUUUAAACAUUGAGGUGCAUGUACCCCUUCAAUUCUGUAUUUUUGUACCUUUUGAGUAAAUGCCUAACAGCGCAAUUACUGGAUCGUAGGAUAGUUCUAUUUUUAAUUUUUUGAAGAACUUCCAUACUGGUCUCCAGACCUGUUGCACCAGUGUGCAUUCCCACCAACAGUGCAAGAGGGUUCCCCUUUCUCUGCAUCCUCCCAACACCCGUUGCUUCUCGUGGUGUUAAUUUUAGCCAUUCUGACAGGUGUGAGGUGGAGUCUCAUUGUGGUUUUGGUUUGUAUUUCCCUGAUGAUGAGUGAUGUUGAGCAUCUCUUCAUGUGUCUGUUAGCCAUCUGGCUGUCUUCUUUGGAAAAGUGUCUGUUCAAGUCUUCUGCCCAUUUCUUAACUGGGUUUUUGGUUUUUUGGGGAAGAGUGUUGAGUCUGAUAAGUUCUUUAUAGAUUUUGGAUAGUACCCCUUUAGCAGGUAUGUUGUUUGUGUAUUUUAAUAAACCCAUUAGUUGUUUAAUAUAUAUUGAAGACAUCCAUGCUUUCAAAACUUAAUAUAUUAACCAAUAAGCAAAAUGGAGAAAAAUAAUUUUUUUCUACUUAUAAAAACUUAAAAUAUAAACGAUACAAGAAUAUCAUGAAGGCAUACCACAAUCCAAAGCAUAAAAAACAAUUUGUAUGUAAAAUGAGGGAAAGGUACAGGGAAAAUCUCCUAAAUAUCAAAAUGCACUGUCAGAUACUGCAAUCACCUGACAAGAGAUAUUAUUUUGAGAUACAACAGUUCCAAACAAUUUAGGUGCCAUAGAGAUUACGAUAAUAAUAAUUCAGACGUUUCUUCUUCAUACGUGAGUCUUGACAUACUUUGUGUGAAUCGAAAAGCUGUAGGACUCCUUAAGAACAGCAGAAAUUGAUAGAGAGUACUUAAUAUGUGUGCAAUCUUACACACUUUUUAUACUAUUAUUUUUUUUUAAAAAAAGGCUGUCCCAUUUUUGGUCCCUUAGAAGUUUGAGUGGAUGCGAAUAAAUUGUGGGUACUAGUUUGCAUAUUCAAUUAACUUGAACCUAAGCAGAUCUGUACUUCGGUGAAAGAGUACAGUGGUAUAUGAUGCAGUAUCGUUUAACUGGAAAGGAUUCCUGAAGACUCACUGUUUACAUUUUGAACCUGAAACUGUAACUUAAAGAUUGAAUAAGUAAAUAAGUUGCCAGAAAAAUUCCAGAUAUACAGUGAGUGGCAACUUACUUCACAGUGUUCCCUUUUGUUGUUCGUCGAAAAAAAAAAAAAUGACAAUUUUCGAAAAAUGCAAUUGUCGAAAAAAAAAAUAGUGAAAAGAAACUAAUGUUACCUAACUUUCAAGGCUUUUGACAGGUUCUUGUGAGAUGUGAUGUCGGACACAAUAAUUUUAUUCCUUGGCAGAAAUAAAAUGUUGCUUUUCACAGUAAUUGCUUCCUUGGGAGAGAAUGAAGGCAUUUUUGCAUUAUUAACACAGCAGCUCUGCCACUACAUCUGUUAUAAAAUUCAUUUCAGGAAUGAAGCUUAAUUUUUUUUUUUUUAAAAGUUACACUCAUGGAUAAAAUAAGAGUAUACACUAUAGUAGAGGCAAACAAUAAUUUAAAAUUGUUUUAAAGCAUUUUAUGGUAUAUAUUAACUCUAUUUUAUUACCCAAUUUGGGGUAAGUUCAAAUUAAAUACACUUGGAACAAGUCCAGGAUCUUUCAAGUGGGUUAAAUUGUAGUGCACGAAAGGAAUAAGCAGCCACCUGUAUAGGUAGCCUAUUAAGCAGACUACAUAUAUACAGUUAUACAGCAAGAAAUAAUUUCAUAAUCAUCUCUAUACUAUUUUAGUGUUCCCCUAGCUAGUAAAAUAAAUAAAUAAAUAAAUAGAUAGAUAGAUAGAUAAAGCGCUUACUUUUUGAAGAUUAACUUGAAAAUAAGCAAAAAACAAACCAAAGCAAAAACGUUGACAUUUUAUAAACAUCUCGGAAACACAGGCAGCAUUAGUAACCUAAAUACAGAAAAAAAUGUACAUAAAUCCAUGAGGUUUGGUCAUUUUGUGUGCAUAUUUUUUGGCUUGUUCAUUCAUUCAUGUACAUACAGUCUUAAAGAGGAUUAUAAAGGUGAGUAACAUUUCAGUCUGUACUCAAGAUACUUUAAUUUUAUUAGUGGACAUGGUUGUUCAAAAAUAUAAAGUUGAAAGGAAUAAACAAGACAAAUACGUGUCAUGGCCAUUCUGAAUAGAAGAAUUUUAUAGGUGUCCAAGGACAUAAAGAAGCAGCUUUAUCAAAAAGGGACAGUUGAACUAGGAGAGAGAAAGGGUUUUAGAAAUAUGGAGAAAGUAAGAACAUCAUUCCAAAAUGAAAUACAUUAUGUGUUCGUUAUAAACCAGAAUUAGCAGAAAAAAUAUAUGACUCAUUUUUCUACCUACGUGCUAUUCUUACAUGCUUUAGACUAUUUUAAUUUUUAGCUAAAGUGACACCACAAGUUUAAUAACAUUUAGGGAGAAGGAGGAAGCAGGUGAGAGAUCUAUUGUUAUUUUAAAAUAUUGAGCAUGACUCAUCCAAAAUGAUGGGAAAUUUCACCAGUGCAUAUUAUCGUUUCUUCCCUUUAGAGUUACUAAUUAUUCUGGAGUUUGAGAACUUAUUUAUAAACUAAAGCAUAAUAUAACAACAUGAUCAAAUGCUACUGUGACCUUUUUUUUUUAAUAUAAAAGUGACACAGUAUAUUUUAGUUCUUGAUUUUGAUAAGUAUUUAUGACAUAUGUGACUGGUGGUACUUAAGACUUUACAAAAAAAAUAAAUAGAUAAAGCUUCCUUAAUAUAAAAACAUUAAGACAUUUUUUACUGAAGCUAAUACUUAAAUUUUAUGAGUUUUCCCAUAGCUCCUAAUCCUUUUACCUAAAGGCAAUAUAAUAUACUAAAGUCACUUUUGAAUGUAAAUUUCAUCCAGGUUUAUGAAAAGUUAAUUGUAUUUAAAUCACUGAUGAGCUUUUUAGAGAAUCAAAAUAUAAUGAUGUUUAAAAAUCAUGCAUUAAACAGGAAUUACUCUGUUAUUGACAUUUACAUGGUCUUACUUUUAAUAUGAAAUUUAUUGUCGAAUUGGUUUCCAUACAACAGCCAGUGCUCAUCCCAACAGGUGCCCUCCUCAAUACCCGUCACCCUCCCACCCCCCAUCAACCCUCAGUUUAUUCUCAGUUUUUAAGAGUCUCUCAUGGUCUUAUUUUGAAGCUGUAAAGAUAAAACUUUAAAAUGCUUUUUUAAAACUAGAAUGUGUAUGUCCAUUAUGAAUUAUGUUUAAUAUAACAGACUCAAUUUUAUUGGUAGGAUGAGAAUAAUUUCUUGGGUUUUAAAAACCACAUUACUCUUUUCAAUGCACUAAAUAAUUUUCUCAAAUUGGAAAAAUUUAAAUACUAUGAACCAGUUAGAAAGUAAUAUAUCCUUUUCUCUGUGGAAGGGAUUGUCUUCUGUUUUCUUUGUUUCUGAUACUGCACUUAUUCUGGAUUCUCAGAAUAUUUAACUAUGUUAGAUUAAUAAGUAUAAGUGUGACAUAAGAAAACACAUUUUAUAGUUCUUUUAUCUUCUGUGUAUGUGCUUUCAAUGUUUUAAUUACGAAGUGCAAACAAACCUUAGAGGGAAAACCAUUGUUUUAAAUAAAUAUUUUUGAGAGGGUGAAUAUACAGUUUGAGUUCCUUUUGGUAGAGAAAGAUUUAGUCCUCUUUUCAACUAUUCAUUUAAUAUCUAUCAUAUGUGAAAUGCUUUGAUGAGAAGUAAGGAUACAAAUCCCAGGUUCCCACACAACUGCUAGGAUUGUAAGCGGCAACAGUUUAAAGUAGGUGUAGGGAUAGUUUGGGCUAGUUUCAGAAGUUGGUAAUCAAGGUCAGUCAGAGUUUAGGAUUAAGAGUGUAUAUUAUAAUGAUAUGUGAUGAUGAAUCAAGGUCAGUCAGAGUUGAGGAUUAAGAGUGCAGAUGUGAUGCUGGAGGCAUAGAAUAGCAGCAACAGAUGGGAGAAAGGCAUUAAGUUUUACCCAAGUCCAAC